UGGGGAAUAUUGGACAAUGGGCGGAAGCCUGAUCCAGCCAUGCCGCGUGUGUGAAGAAGGCCUUUUGGUUGUAAAGCACUUUAAGCGAGGAGGAGGCUACUUGGAUUAAUACUCUAGGAUAGUGGACGUUACUCGCAGAAUAAGCACCGGCUAACUCUGUGCCAGCAGCCGCGGUAAUACAGAGGGUGCGAGCGUUAAUCGGAUUUACUGGGCGUAAAGCGUGCGUAGGCGGCUUCUUAAGUCGGAUGUGAAAUCCCUGGGCUUAACUUAGGAAUUGCAUUGGAUACUGGGAAGCUAGAGUAUGGGAGAGGAUGGUAGAAUUCCAGGUGUAACGGUGAAAUGCGUAGAGAUCUGGAGGAAUACCGAUGGCGAAGGCAGCCAUCUGGCCUAAUACUGACGCUGAGGUACGAAAGCAUGGGGAGCAAACAGG
rnacentral:rRNA from 1 species